UGGGGAAUCUUGGACAAUGGGGGCAACCCUGAUCCAGCCAUGCCGCGUGAGUGAUGAAGGCCUUAGGGUCGUAAAGCUCUUUCGCCUGUGAAGAUAAUGACGGUAGCAGGUAAAGAAACCCCGGCUAACUCCGUGCCAGCAGCCGCGGUAAUACGGAGGGGGUUAGCGUUGUUCGGAAUUACUGGGCGUAAAGCGCACGUAGGCGGACCAGAAAGUUGGGGGUGAAAUCCCGGGGGCUCAACCCCGGAACUGCCUCCAAAACUAUUGGUCUAGAGUUCGAGAGAGGUGAGUGGAAUUCCAAGUGUAGAGGUGAAAUUCGUAGAUAUUUGGAGGAACACCAGUGGCGAAGGCGGCUCACUGGCUCGAUACUGACGCUGAGGUGCGAAAGUGUGGGGAGCAAACAGGAUUAGAUACCCUGGGUAGUCCACACCGUAAACGAUGAAUGCCAGUCGUCGGGUAGCAUGCUAUUCGGUGACACACCUAA
rnacentral:rRNA from 1 species